rnacentral:rRNA from 1 species
AGUGAACGCUGGCGGUAGGCCUAACACAUGCAAGUCGAACGGCAGCACAGUAAGAGCUUGCUCUUACGGGUGGCGAGUGGCGGACGGGUGAGGAAUACAUCGGAAUCUACUUUUUCGUGGGGGAUAACGUAGGGAAACUUACGCUAAUACCGCAUACGACCUACGGGUGAAAGCAGGGGAUCUUCGGACCUUGCGCGAUUGAAUGAGCCGAUGUCGGAUUAGCUAGUUGGCGGGGUAAAGGCCCACCAAGGCGACGAUCCGUAGCUGGUCUGAGAGGAUGGUCAGCCACACUGGAGCUGAGACACGGUCCAGAGUCCUACGAGAGGCAGCAGUGGGGAAUAUUGGACAGUAGGCGCAAGCCUGAUCCAGCGAUAGCGCGUAGGUGAAGAAGGCCUUCGGGUUGUAAAGCCCUUUUGUUGGGGAAGAAAAGCAGCAGGUUAAUACGCCGCUGUUCUGACGGUACCCAAAGAAUAAGCACCGGCUAACUUCGUG